UACAGAGGUCUCAAGCGUUUGUUCGGAUUCAUUGGGCGUAAAGGGUGUGUAGGUGGCGCGCUAAGUCGGGUGUGAAAUUUCGGAGCUUAACUCCGAAACUGCAUUCGAUACUGCCGUGCUUGAGGACUGGAGAGGAGACUGGAAUUUACGGUGUAGCGGUGAAAUGCGUAGAUAUCGUAAGGAAGACCAGUGGCGAAGGCGGGUCUCUGGACAGUUCCUGACGCUGAGGCACGGAAGGUCAGGGGGAGCAAACGGG
rnacentral:rRNA from 1 species